rnacentral:rRNA from 1 species
AAGACCUUGCGCUUUUGGAGCGGCCGAUGCCUGAUUAGCUUGUUGGUAAGGUAAAAGCUUACCAAGGCUUCGAUCAGUAGCUGGUCUGAGAGGACGACCAGCCACACUGGGACUGAGACACGGCCCAGACUCCUACGGGAGGCAGCAGUGGGGAAUUUUGGACAAUGGGGGCAACCCUGAUCCAGCCAUGCCGCGUGAGUGAAGAAGGCCUUCGGGUUGUAAAGCUCUUUCAGCCGGAACGAAACGGUUACGGUUAAUACCCGUGACUACUGACGGUACCGGAAGAAGAAGCACCGGCUAACUACGUGCCAGCAGCCGCGGUAAUACGUAGGGUGCGAGCGUUAAUCGGAAUUACUGGGCGUAAAGCGUGCGCAGGUGGUUUUGUAAGUCAGAUGUGAAAGCCCCAGGCUCAACCUGGGAACU